UACGGAGGAUGCAAGCGUUAUUCGGAAUGAUUGGGCGUAAAGCGUCCGCAGGCGGCAAUGUAAGUCUGCUGUCAAAGCGUCUGGCUCAACCAGAUAAAGGCAGUGGAAACUACAUAGCUAGAGUAAGGUAGGGGUAGAGGGAAUUCCUGGUGUAGCGGUGAAAUGCGUAGAGAUCAGGAAGAACACCGGUGGCGAAAGCGCUCUGCUGGACCUUAACUGACACUGAGGGACGAAAGCUAGGGGAGCGAAUGGG
rnacentral:rRNA from 1 species